rnacentral:lncRNA from 1 species
UGUGUGUAAAUGUUGACAUUUGUAUUAACUAGGAUUAAGAAGUGCUAUUGAAGCAUUGUUUAUUGUUAGCUUGCGUUAAUCAGCAAACAAAUCAUACAAUUGUAAUCCAUGUAAUACUAUUCUGUGUAUGAACUGUGACCAAAGGAUUUUAUGUAGUAUUUCCAAAUGCUGAAAACAAGCUACACUCAGUUUAAGACAAAUAAAUAGUAAAUAAAUGCAACACCUAUGCAGCUUUAUUUUUUUAUACUCAGUUUAAUACUAAAAACCAAUUCACAGUGUGUAUAUGUGUGUGUGUGUGUGUGUGUGUGUGUGCAGGUAUUGAAGGUUUGCGUUUACCACAAUGAGCUUUUCAUUCUCAUUGUGUGUUUUAAUACUGCUAUUAGGUGAAACCAUUAAUGGACAAACAUCAGACCCUUGCAAAACGUACAAUGUGCUGGAGAACCGCUGGAGAGCCACCAACAAUCUGUAUUCUUCUGAAAUAAUGUGUGACUGUGAGGUGAACUGGAACGGCUGGUACCGUCUGCUUUAUGAAGGUCAGAGUGUUCAGAUGCCAGACACAUGUGUUGAUGAGUAUAGCUGCGGCACUCAUGCUCCACUGUGGCUGAGUGGAGGACAUCCAAAAGUCGAGGAUGGAGUAGUCACUCGAGAUGUCUGCGGGCACUAUGAAAAUGACUGCUGCUCCUUUAAAUCCAAUGCUAUUCAAGUCAAAGCCUGUCCGGGAGAUUAUUUUGUCUACGAGCUAGUGAAACCUUCCUUCUGCUUUCUGGCAUACUGUGCAGAUGUUAGGAACAUCAACACCAGCAACACCAUUACAACUGUGGUUCCUCCUGUUGAUCCCUGCACCAGUUACCAUGCCCUGGAUAACCCGUGGAGAGCCACCAGUAAUCAAUAUUCCUUUGAAAUAAUGUGCGACUGUGAGGUUAACUGGGACGGCUGGUACCGUCUCUUCAUUAAUGGUCAGAGUGUUCAGAUGCCAGACACAUGUGUUGAUGAGCACAGUUGCGGCACUCAUGCUCCACUGUGGCUGAGCGGAGGACAUCCAACACUUGAGGAUGGAGUGGUCUCUCGAGAUGUCUGCGGUCAAUGGAGCAACAACUGCUGCUAUUUCCAGUCCAAUCCCAUUCAAGUCAAAGCCUGUCCUGGAGGUUUUUAUGUCUAUGAGUUUGUGAAACCAGAGUUCUGCUCUUUGGCAUAUUGUGCAGAUGUAAGGAACAUAAACACUACAUAUACUACUGCCAAUCCAAACACUAUGUUUACCACAGAAACAACAACCAUGGACAUAAUAACUGAAUACGCCACUUCAGAAACAACACCAAUAGAAAGCCAAGUGACAGAAAGCACCACAACUGGAGAAAGUGUGACAGUCAGUCAAGCUGCAACAGGUGAAAAGGCGAUCACAGGUGCCACAACAACAAAAAGUGCCACUAUGGACAUGACAGCAAGCGAAAAUAUGACAACAAUGACUACAACUUCAGAAUCUACAACAACAACAGCACAAAGAACAGAAAGCAGCACAACUCCAGGAAGCACAAGAACUUCAGACAGUACCACAAUAGCUGAAACCCCAGUGGCUACAACACCUGCGACUACAGGAGCAGAAAGCAUGACAAGAGAGGAAAGCACAACUACAAAUAGUAUGACAAUAAGCACAACAACUCCUGAAAGCACCACAACUGAGACCACAACAACCGAAAGCACCACAACUGGCACCACAACUCCAGAAAGUACCACAACUGAGACCACAACAACCGAAAGCACCACAACUGGCACCACAACUCCAGAAAGCACCACAACUGAGACCACAACAACCGAAAGCACCACAACUGGCACCACAACUCCAGAAAGCACCACAACUGAGACCACAACAACAGAAAUCACCACAACAGGCACCACAACUCCAGAAAGCACCACAACUGAGACCACAACAACCGAAAGCACCACAACUGGCACCACAACUCCAGGAAGUACCACAACUGAGACCACAACAACCGAAAGCACCACAACAACCGAAAGCACCACAACUGGCACUACAACUCCAGAAAGUACCACAACUGAGACCACAACAACCGAAAGCACCACAACUGGCACCACAACUCCAGAAAGUACCACAACAGAGACCACAACAACCGAAAGCACCACAACUGGCACCACAACAACCGAAACCACCACAACUGGCACCACAACAACCGAAAGCACCACAACUGGCACCACAACUCCAGAAAGCACCACAAAUGAGACCACAACAACCGAAAGCACCACAACUGGCACCACAACUCCAGAAAGCACCACAACUGAGACCACAACAACCGAAAGCACCACAACUGGCACCACAACUCCAGAAAGCACCACAACUGAAACCACAACAACAGAAAGCACCACAACUGGCACCACAACUCCAGAAAGUACCACAACUGAGACCACAACAACCGAAAGCACCACAACUGACACCACAACUCCAGAAAGCACCACAACUGGCACCACAACAACCGAAAGCACUACAACUGGCACCACAACAACCGAAAGCACCACAACUGGCACCACAACUCCAGCAAGUACCACAACUGACACCACAACAACCGAAAGCACCACAACUGACACCACAACUCCAGAAAGCACCACAACUGAGACCACAACAACAGAAAGCACCACAACUGGCACCACAACUCCAGAAAGCACCACAACAGGCACCACAACAACCGAAAGCACCACAACUGGCACCACAACUCCAGAAAGCACCACAACUGAAACUACAACAACAGAAAGCACCACAACUGAGACCACAACAACCGAAAGCAUCACAACUGGCACCAAAACUCCAGAAAGUACCACAACUGAGACCACAACAACCGAAAGCACCACAACUGGCACCACAACUCCAGAAAGUAAAACAACUGAAACCACAACAACCGAAAGCACCACAACUGGCACCACAACAACCGAAAGCACCACAACUGGCACCACAACUCUAGAAAGUACCACGACUGAGACCACAACAACCGAAAGCACCACAACUGGCACCACAACUCCAGAAAGCACCACAACUGAGACCACAACAACAGAAAGCACCACAACUGGCACCACAACUCCAGAAAGUACCACAACUGAGACCACAACAACCGAAAGCACCACAACUGGCACCACAACUCCAGAAAGCACCACAACUGGCACCACAACAACCGAAAGCACCACAACAACCGAAAGCACCACAACUGGCACCACAACUCCAGAAAGCACCACAACUGAGACCACAACAACUGAAAGCACCACAACUGGCACCACAACAACCGAAAGCACCACAACUCCAGAAAGUACCACAACUGAGACCACAACAACCGAAAGCACCACAACUGGCACCACAACUCCAGAAAGUACCACAACUGAGACCACAACAACCGAAAGCACCACAACUGGCACCACAACUCCAGAAAGCACCACAACUGAGACCACAACAACAGAAAGCACCACAACUGGCACCACAACUCCACCACAACAACAGAAAGCACCACAACUGGCACCACAACAACCGAAAGCACCACAACUGGCACCACAACAACCGAAAGCACCACAACUGGCACCACAACUCCAGAAAGCACCACAACUGGCACCACAACAACCGAAAGCAACUCCAGAAAGUACCACAACUGAGACCACAACAACCGAAAGCACCACAACUGGCACCACAACAACCGAAAGCACCACAACUGGCACCACAACUCCAGAAAGUACCACAACUGAGACCACAACAACCGAAAGCACCACAACUGGCACAACAACAACCGAAAGCACCACAACUGGCACCACAACUCCAGAAAGCACCACAACUGAGACCACAACAACUGAAAGCACCACAACUGGCACCACAACAACUGAAAGCACCACAACUGGCACCACAACUCCAGAAAGUACCACAACUGAGACCACAACUCCAGAAAGCACCACAACUGGCACCACAACUCCAGAAAGCACCACAACUGGCACCACAACUCCAGAAAGCACCACAACUGAGACCACAACAACUGAAAGCACCACAACUGGCACCACAACUCCAGAAAGCACCACAACUGGCACCACAACAACUGAGAGCACAACAGCUGGCACCGCAACUCUAGAAAGUACCACGACUAAGACCAUAACAACCGAAACCACUACCAAUAGCACCAGCGUUUAAGUAAGUGUUUAAGCAUAAUCACAACUUAGUGCACCAGAGUCAUAAAAGGCAGCACCACUGACACAAUUGGCUUCUUUUUUCUGUU